UCAAAUCCCCUUGCUAACU
rnacentral:tRNA from 1 species